CUCGUUAAUUACAAACCUCUCGGACAAUUUGUAAUCGCCGUCGACGAUGAAUGGCACAGUUCUCUGUGGAUUUAUCUGCAACGAAAGGACGUUCGCCGAUGGCCAUAUUGAUUGGCAUCAGGUUUAGAGAGAUACCGAUCGCUUCGGCAGUCAAUAAAACCGCUCUGCAGGGCGCACUCGUUGCCGCAUAAUGCGGACUCGCUAUUCGAAAUUCCAUUUUGGGUUAUUCGAGAUUUCAUAUGAUACCAGAAAUAUUUCAAGAGGAAGGGAUGUUAUUUCAACCGGGGGAAUAUUGGAAUUCCGUUGUGGGAUACCUACGAUCACGGUUUUCAGAGAAAUCAAGUCGGCCGCUCGAGAAGUGAAAGUGGGCAUGCAGUUCUUAGCCUUCACACAGAAUCCAAGGACCCCCACAAGAAUCGCUAUUAGCCGCGCCUGUUGGAUCCCAAGUAAGAAAGGAACGAACACAUUGAAAACGAUGUUUGUCAAGUUUAGAACGUGAAUAAAAAUGGAAUUCUCAUGUAUAAGAUAAGAUGAGUUAACAGCCAGUCAUGUGUACGUAGUUCGUUUAGUAUAAAAGUGAUAAGAGUGUUAUAUUACAAAUUAUCAUGUUCUGUAUCGAAGGAUACAAAAAUGCUGACUCACGUAAGCGACCCAAAUCCUAAAAUAACUUGCAAGUCAUUCAGCUCGAAGCAAGAGAGAAAGCGGAUCUUUUGCAAGGGUAAUAAUAAUUGAUAAAGGAAUGUACACUAGACUAUUCCUUAUUAAUUUAUAUUCUAAUUAUAUUAGGUUGUUCUAUUAUCAUAAAAAUUAUCCUCUAUUAGAUGCUCGUAACAAGUAUAAUAUCAAUCACCAGGUAUUGUUGAAAGUUUUUGGAUAUAAUCUGAGCUUAUAGGCCAUUAGGAUUAUCUCUCGUUAGUUUCUAUAUCCUUACACCGUGUUGAACUUUAUCUUAAACUUCAAGUCAAACUUUACCCGUUUCCAUUACCGUCUCCUUAAGCCGUUAAGGAUCGACCACGAUAAGAAUUAAUUGCGUGACCAAUAGAAAUCUCUAGAAAUCUUUUAUAAUCGCAGCAGUAAGAAACACGAUUCAAUAAAAUAGCCUAAUUAACACUAGAUUGUCGGAUGUUGGGUACAUACCUAUUUUGGCUUAAAAUGAGUCACAUUGACUCAAACAUUAGAAUUGAAGAUUUUUAAUAAAAUAAAAUUUUAUUUUAAAGAAACUUUAUUCAAAACAAUUUUUACAUAUAUUU